AGGGCACCCCUACUGCCUCUGUCCUGACCCCAAGUGUGCUGAGAGGGGAGAGCAUUGGCUUGGCCCCCACCCAUGCAGGCACAGGCCUGACAGGCUCUCAGUGUCUUGCAGGUUACCGGGAGCCACCUCCCUGGGUGGUGCUGGACCCGCCACAGGAGGACCUGGAGGAGGACACCCCAGGAGCCAGCCUGUGGCCCACCACAGUCACCCUGCUCACUCUCUUCCUGCUGAGCCUCUUCUACAGCACGGCGCUGACCGUGACCAGCAUCCGGGCCCCACCUGGUGGCAAAGAGGGCCCCCAGUACUGAGAAGGAGCCAGCCAAGCAAAGGGAGGAGCCUGGAGGAGCCCCCUGGAAGCCAAGCUGGAUGCCAGAGCUCAGCCCUGCUUGGAAGCCACCCGACUCUCCCACACAGGCCUUCCUGGUGCAAUAAACUGAUCCCCAAGGAAGAGAUUCUCAGACUCUGAAUGAGGGGAGGGGGAUGGGAGGGGGCGGAGGCUUCAGAGAGGAGGAUGCCAGCCUCAGGACACAAGGGGGGGUCACAGCGGGCAUGGAGACGGGGUCCCCCUUGCCUAGUGCCCACCUGACCGAGUUCUGCAAGUUCUGCAGGGCCAGGCAAGAGCUGGGCUUCACCAAGAGGAUAUAGAGUGAGACCCCACCCAAAAACUACAAUCAGCUCCUUGGUCUUGGUCACUGAGCCCUGGUCUUGAUUACUGAGCCCUGGUCCUGGUCACUGAACACUGGUCCUGAUCACUGAGCACUGGUCUGAUCACUGAACACUGGUCCUGAUCACUGAGCACUGGUCUGAUCACUGAAAACUGGUCCUGAUCACUGGGCCCUGGUUUUGAUCACUGAGCCCUGGUCCUGGUCACUGGGCCCUGGUUCUGGUCACUGAGCCCUGGUUCUGGUCACUCAGCCCUGGUCCUGAUCACUGGGCCCUGGUCCUGGUCACUGAGCCCUGGUCUUGAUUACUGAGCUAUGUUCCUGGUCACUGAACACUGGUCCUGAUCACUGAGCCCUGGUUCUGAUUACUGAGCCUUGGUCUUUGUUCUUCUCACUGGGCCCUGGUCCUGAUGACUGGCCCUGGUCCUGGUCACUGAGCCCUAGUUCUGGUAACUGUGCCCUGGUGCUGAUCACUGUGCCUGAGUCCUGAUCACUGAGCCCUUGUCCUUGUCACUGAGCCCUGGUCCUGGUCACUGAGUCCUGGUCCUGAUCAUUGAGCCUGGUCCUGAUCACUUGGCCUUGGUCUUAAUCACUGAGCCCUGGUCCUGGUCACUAAGACCUGGUCUUAAUAACUGAGCCCUGGUCCUGCUCACUGAGUCCUGGUCCUGAUCAUUAAGCCCUGGUCCUGAUCACUAGG
rnacentral:lncRNA from 1 species